rnacentral:rRNA from 1 species
AGGGUGCAAGCGUUGUUCGGAAUUAUUGGGCGUAAAGCGCGUGUAGGCGGCUUAGCAAGUCGGGUGUGAAAGCCCUCGGCUCAACCGAGGAAGUGCGGCCGAAACUGCUGAUCUUGAGUACCGGAGAGGAUGGCGGAAUUCCCCAAGUAGAGGUGAAAUUCGUAGAUAUGGGGAGGAACACCGGUGGCGAAGGCGGCCAUCUGGACGGUAACUGACGCUGAGCCGCGAAAGCGUGGGUAGCAAACAGGAUUAGAUACCCUGGUAGUCCACGCCGUAAACGAUGAGAACUAGGUGUCGCGGGUGUUGACCCCUGCGGUGCCGAAGCUAACGCAUUAAGUUCUCCGCCUGGGAAGUACGGCCGCAAGGCUAAAACUCAAAGGAAUUGACGGGGGCCCGCACAAGCGGUGGAGCAUGUGGUUUAAUUCGACGCAACGCGCAGAACCUUACCAGGUCUUGACAUCCUUCGAACGACCCCGAAAAGGGUUGGUGCCCGCAAGGGAACGGAGUGACAGGUGCUGCAUGGCUGUCGUCAGCUCGUGUUGUGAGAUGUUGGGUUAAGUC